GAUGAACGCUAGCGAUAGGCUUAACACAUGCAAGUCGAGGGGCAGCAUGGUCUUAGCUUGCUAAGGCUGAUGGCGACCGGCGCACGGGUGCGUAACGCGUAUGCAACUUGCCUCACAGAGGGGGAUAACCCGUCGAAAGACGGACUAAUACCGCGUACACUCUAUGUUGGGCAUCCAAUGUAGAGGAAAUGAAAUUCGCUGUUAGAUAGGCAUGCGUCCCAUUAGCUAGUUGGUGAGGUAACGGCUCACCAAGGCGACGAUGGGUAGGGGAACUGAGAGGUUGAACCCCCACACUGGUACUGGGACACGGACCAGACUCCUACGGGAGGCAGCAGUGAGGAAUAUUGGUCAAUGGGCGAGAGCCUGAACCAGCCAAGUCGCGUGAAGGAUGACUGUCUUAUGAAUUGUAAACUUCUUUUAUACGGGAAUAACAAGAGUCACGUGUGGCUCCCUGCAUGUACCGUAUGAAUAAGCAUCGGCUAACUCCGUG
rnacentral:rRNA from 1 species